CGCCACUGCACCUGUCUCCGGAGCUCCCAAAGCAAGAAAAGCAAAUUGAAAGCGGAGACGUAUUUCUUUCUCCUUAUAAAGCUAAAGCCAAGCAAUUUUGUUUCUCUGGCUACUUCUAUUACUCAUACUCUCCUCCUCUUCUCUUCGCCUUCCUCGUUGAUUCUUCUUCGGAGUCCCUUGGGAGCUCUCGCCAUGGCUGCUUCUGUUACUGGAUCCAACGUCAUUGCAUUCAAAUCCCCCGAAAUCUCUGCGAAUUUUGGAAGUUCUGGUGACCAGAGAGUCGCUCAGGUCCGUCAAUGGUCUCCGAUUACUAGUGGAGUCGGACAACUCCAGUCUCGCAUGGGCCUCCAGUGUAGAUCGAGGAGCUCAUUUGGUUACUCUGGCGUAAGAGCUCAGGUUGCUACUGCUGAAGCAGCAAGCGCCGAGGCCACACAGAAGCUGGAAGCGCCUGUUGUUGUAGUGACCGGAGCUUCUAGAGGUAUUGGUAAAGCAAUUGCCUUGUCCUUGGGAAAGGCAGGUUGUAAGGUCUUGGUAAAUUAUGCCAGGUCAUCAAAAGAGGCUGAGGAAGUUUCCAAAGAGAUUGAGGCUUAUGGUGGUGAGGCUCUCACUUUUGGGGGUGAUGUUUCAAAAGAAGCUGAUGUGGAGUCAAUGAUGAAAACUGCUAUUGAUGCAUGGGGAACCAUUGAUGUACUAGUCAAUAAUGCAGGAAUAACCCGAGAUACAUUGUUGAUGAGAAUGAAGAAAUCUCAGUGGCAGGAGGUUAUUGAUCUAAAUCUCACAGGUGUAUUCCUUUGCACACAGGCAGCAGCCAAAAUCAUGAUGAAGAAGAAAAAGGUAAGAUCACAUGCCUGUCUUAAGUUUAUGCUUCCUUGUUCUUGGCAAAUUAAGCUUGGACUGAUUUGUGCACUAAACCUGGAAUUGAUACAGUAUUGAGACUUUCUCCUUGCAUUUUUGAAUUUAUUUCAGUCUUCAUGCUGUCUUUCUUAUUGUUAACUCUUCUUCUUAAAUAACUGAAUUGAUAGCUUUGAAUUCUAUCUCAAAAGGAAGCUAACAAACUUUGGAACAUAUAGUAUUUCAAAUAGGGCUUUAAUUGUGAAUGCAAUGCCCUCUUCAAGAUUGGAUUUUAACUCACUUAAAGCUGGUAAUUUGCUGAAAUUAAAGAAAAUAAAAUAAAAUAGGGAUUCCUCGAGUUCAGUUGACCUAGAAGCCUAAAAAUGUUGACUUUCGUCUUUGUCUCUCUUGAUUUCUGUUAACAAUAUAAUGUCCUUUUGUUAUUUGGGUCUUACAGGGAAGGAUCAUUAACAUAGCAUCAGUAGUGGGUUUAGUUGGCAAUGCUGGGCAAGCCAACUACAGUGCAGCGAAGGCUGGAGUUAUUGGACUGACAAAGACUGUUGCAAAGGAAUAUGCAAGCAGAAAUAUUAAUGUGUGUUUUAAGAAUUUUAUUAUGUAUUUGGUGAUUUGACACAUUCCACGAUUUUAUGCAGCUGGUGCUACUUUAUGUGAAUUAACUCUCUUGAAAUUAUAUUUCUUAGGUAAAUGCUGUUGCCCCUGGAUUCAUUGCAUCUGAUAUGACAGCCAAACUCGGGGAGGAUAUUGAGAAGAAAAUCUUGGAGACAAUUCCCUUAGGUGGGAGACAAAAUCAUAAAAUAAAAAUUUGUCAUUUGUUAAUUUUCAAAUUUUAGAUUUUAUUAAGAAGUAUUUGAAAUUGAAACAAAUUCUUCCAAGUAAUUAGGAUUUUCAUGAGUUGAGAAAACUGAAUGAAAUAUUUCAUAAAACAAUCGAUACUAAAUUUUGACAUGUAUUCAGGUAGGUAUGGCCAACCGGAAGAGGUUGCUGGAUUGGUAGAAUUCCUGGCUCUUAAUCCUGCUGCCAGCUACAUCACUGGACAGGUUUAGAAUCUAUUUUUGUUUCGAUUCCCUUUGUUUUUAAAAUUUUGACCAGUGGAGUUGUAGCCCAAAAUUCUUUUCUUUUAGUUCUUUGUUGGGGUUGCUUUGAUCUCGCUAAUCUCGAGAUGGCUUAUCUUGGCAUUGGUUUGACUUUACCUAACUCUGUCUUUGCCACAUCAAACCUUGCCUUCUUGGCCUUUGCAUAAACACAUGCCAUGGUCAGGACAACACAAAGGCAUAGUCAGCUUCAUCAAGCUGGCCCAUGCAAAAGGACCUGUAACUGUUUAGAUUUAGUUGUAAUUUGUUAGCUAAAGAGAAUUAAUUUAUAAGCAGCUCAAUACUGAUCUCUGGAUCAAGAUAUGUCAUAGUUCUCCUUGUCAUAUCAUGACAUGCUUUUCUAUCAUCAUGGACUGGUUCUUGUUCAAAUAAAUUCAUUUGUUUUCCUAUGACAUGCUAAAUGCCUGCAAUGGAAUUACAUGGUGAAGCCCAGUCAUUUCAUUUUCAUAAUUACCAAGUUAUAUUUUGCUGUUUUGCAGGUGUUUACUAUUGAUGGAGGAAUGGUUAUGUAAGUUGACUAGGUGCCAUGUCUGGUUGAGCCUGAAAAGUUUCUACCCUCCUGAAUUUGGAUAGGCAGAUUUCUUUCAACUGGGUAUGACUAGCUUGCGCUAGGCGGUUUUUGUCUUUACACUCUUCUGUAAUAAACAAAUGCUUGAAGUUGAUAGAAUCUCAGUUAAUUAUGUUAAACAAACCGAACAAAUGUAUCAACAGUUUUCCUAAGCAUUGUUUAACAAAUUGGAAAAUGUAGCUUUUGUGUUUUUGUUAUCGUCAUGGUGUUUCAUGUUU
rnacentral:misc_RNA from 1 species